CCGACUUACCAACCCGAUGCAAACUACGAAUACCGAAGAAUGUUAUCACGGGAGACACACGGCGGGUGCUACGUCCGUCGUGAAGAGGGAAACAACCCAGACCGCCAGCUAAGGUCCCAAAGUCAUGGUUAAGUGGGAAACGAUGUGGGAAGGCACAGACAGCCAGGAUGUUGGCUUAGAAGCAGCCAUCAUUUAAAGAAAGCGUAAUAGCUCACUGGUCGAGUCGGCCUGCGCGGAAGAUGUAACGGGGCUAAACCAUGCACCGAAGCUGCGGCAGCGACACUAUGUGUUGUUGGGUAGGG
rnacentral:rRNA from 1 species